UACGGAGGGAGCUAGCGUUGUUCGGAAUUAUUGGGCGUAAAGAGCGUGUAGGCGGCUUGGCAAGUCUGCUGUGAAAACUCGAGGCUCAACCUCGAGCUGUCGGUGGAAACUGCUUGGCUAGAGUCCGGAAGAGGAGAGUGGAAUUCCUGGUGUAGCGGUGAAAUGCGCAGAUAUCAGGAAGAACACCAGUGGCGAAGGCAGGUCUCUGGGCAUUAACUGACGCUGAGGAGCGAAAGCAUGGGGAGCGAACAGG
rnacentral:rRNA from 1 species